rnacentral:rRNA from 1 species
CUAAACAUGCAGUCGAACGGCAGCACAGAGAGAGCUUGCUCCUUGGGUGGCGAGUGGCGGACGGGUGAGGAAUACAUCGGAAUCUACUUUUUCGUGGGGGAUAACGUAGGGAAACUUACGCUAAUACCGCAUACGACCUACGGGUGAAAGCAGGGGACCUUCGGGCCUUGCGCGAUUGAAUGAGCCGAUGUCGGAUUAGCUAGUUGGCGGGGUAAAGGCCCACCAAGGCGACGAUCCGUAGCUGGUCUGAGAGGAUGAUCAGCCACACUGGAACUGAGACACGGUCCAGACUCCUACGGGAGGCAGCAGUGGGGAAUAUUGGACAAUGGGCGCAAGCCUGAUCCAGCCAUACCGCGUGGGUGAAGAAGGCCUUCGGGUUGUAAAGCCCUUUUGUUGGGAAAGAAAUCCAGCUGGCUAAUACCCGGUUGGGAUGACGGUACCCAAAGAAUAAGCACCGGCUAACUUCGUGCCAGCAGCCGCGGUAAUACGAAGGGUGCAAGCGUUACUCGGAAUUACUGGGCGUAAAGCGUGCGUAGGUGGUCGUUUAAGUCCGUUGUGAAAGCCCUGGGCUCAACCUGGGAACUGCAGUGGAUACUGGGCGACUAGAGUGUGGUAGAGGGUAGCGGAAUUCCUGGUGUAGCAGUGAAAUGCGUAGAGAUCAGGAGGAACAUCCAUGGCGAAGGCAGCUACCUGGACCAACACUGACACUGAGGCACGAAAGCGUGGGGAGCAGACAGGAUUAGAUACCCUGGUAGUCCACGCCCUAAACGAUGCGAACUGGAUGUUGGGUGCAAUUUGGCACGCAGUAUCAAGCUAACGCGUUAAGUUCGCCGCCUGGGGAGUACGGUCGCAAAACUGAAACUCAAAGGAAUUGACGGGGGCCCGCACAAGCGGUGGAGUAUGUGGUUUAAUUCAAUGCAACGCGAAGAACCUUACCUGGCCUUGACAUGUCGAGAACUUUCCGAAGAUGGAUUGGUGCCUUCGGGAACUC